UGCUUUUAAUAUGCCUUUGUAUAGCCCUAUUAAUAAAUUCACAUCAAUUACACCCAUACAGCACUGUUAAAUAUGUUGAAAUAUAUUUUGAAAAUAUAUUUUAAAAAUACAUAAAACAAAGUUAAAAAAUUGUUCCUCACGAUACAUGUGUAAAUAUGUGUACGAAAAAAUAAAUUCCUAUGCCCUAGAUUUUAAUGAAUGUUUUUUCAAUGUUGUUUCUACACCACGUUUACCAUUUCUAAAGCUAUUAUAUUAUAUUAUAUUAUUUACGUAAAAUUCUGCGUGACUUCUACGUGCUUUAAUGGACGAGCGCGCGCUGAACUGGAGUGGAGGAAGUCACCAUGGAAACGGGGCGGCAGCUCAACUGUCAAGCAGCAACUUCGUCUUUCACUGUUGUUUUUACUAAUUUCAGAAGCGUCAGAAAAAACCCUCUAUUACACAGAAGUUCCUGAUUUUAACAUUUCUGAAGGGAGCUGCUGACAGAGAAAUACACAUCACAGAUUCUUCCAUGCUGACGGCCGUGCACAAGAGUUAGAGCGUAUCUCCUGUCGAAGAACAUCUCUAGACAUUAUGAACCAUCUGUCUAAGACUGAAAAUCAUCAAUAAACCAAAAGUUUGGUUUAGCUCCAACCCCAAUUAAGCAGACCUGAGCAGCUGAUCAAGGAUCACCAGAAACUCUGCAGAAGGUUGGUCCUCCAUGCCCAGGACUGGACACCAGUGUUGUGAGUCAUCUAUCUAGAAGUCAUCCUGCCUCUCUGAAUUGUCAUGUUCAGAAUAGAUUGCAGGAGAUCUCAACAUUGUCUCUCAAGGUCCACUUACAUGCAGAGUUUUGCUCCAACAUAGUGCAGUGCACCUGAACAAACUAAUCAAGUUUUUCAGUUUUACUAACUAUAAAGUCACAAACAGGUGAGUGUGAUGAGGUGUGGACCUAAACUCUGGGUGUCAAUCACUCAGGUCCCUUGCUCAGUAGUCAGUGGUUAAGGGCUGUCUCAGUCACAAAAUUUAGUUUGCUCCCUAAAAAAAUAUGCAAUAUUUGACUCAUAUUCAACGAUGCUAUUAUCUUUUUUCCCCUUUUGUUUGUGUGUCAAUCACAGCUAAAUAAAACCAAAGGCCAUUCAGCCACA